rnacentral:rRNA from 1 species
UACGUAGGGUGCAAGCGUUGUCCGGAAUUAUUGGGCGUAAAGAGCUCGUAGGCGGUUUGUCGCGUCUGCUGUGAAAACUCGGGGCUCAACUCCGAGCUUGCAGUGGGUACGGGCAGACUAGAGUGCGGUAGGGGAGACUGGAAUUCCUGGUGUAGCGGUGGAAUGCGCAGAUAUCAGGAGGAACACCGGUGGCGAAGGCGGGUCUCUGGACCGUAACUGACGCUGAGGAGCGAAAGCGUGGGGAGCGAACAGG